rnacentral:rRNA from 1 species
AUGAACGCUGGCGGCGUGCUUAACACAUGCAAGUCGAACGAAGCACUUUAUUUGAUUUCCUUCGGGACUGAUUAUUUUGUGACUGAGUGGCGGACGGGUGAGUAACGCGUGGGUAACCUGCCUUGUACAGGGGGAUAACAGUUGGAAACGGCUGCUAAUACCGCAUAAGCGCACAGCAUCGCAUGAUGCAGUGUGAAAAACUCCGGUGGUAUAAGAUGGACCCGCGUUGGAUUAGCUAGUUGGUGAGGUAACGGCCCACCAAGGCGACGAUCCAUAGCCGACCUGAGAGGGUGACCGGCCACAUUGGGACUGAGACACGGCCCAAACUCCUACGGGAGGCAGCAGUGGGGAAUAUUGCACAAUGGGCGAAAGCCUGAUGCAGCGACGCCGCGUGAGCGAAGAAGUAUUUCGGUAUGUAAAGCUCUAUCAGCAGGGAAGAUAAUGACGGUACCUGACUAAGAAGCACCGGCUAAAUACGUGCCAGCAGCCGCGGUAAUACGUAUGGUGCAAGCGUUAUCCGGAUUUACUGGGUGUAAAGGGAGCGCAGGCGGUGCGGCAAGUCUGAUGUGAAAGCCCGGGGCUCAACCCCGGUACUGCAUUGGAAACUGUCGUACUAGAGUGUCGGAGGGGUAAGCGGAAUUCCUAGUGUAGCGGUGAAAUGCGUAGAUAUUAGGAGGAACACCAGUGGCGAAGGCGGCUUACUGGACGAUAACUGACGCUGAGGCUCGAAAGCGUGGGGAGCAAACAGGAUUAGAUACCCUGGUAGUCCACGCCGUAAACGAUGAGUGCUAAGUAUUGGAGGGUUUCCGCCCUUCAGUGCUGCAGCAAACGCAUUAAGCACUCCGCCUGGGGAGUACGACCGCAAGGUUGAAACUCAAAGGAAUUGACGGGGGCCCGCACAAGCGGUGGAGCAUGUGGUUUAAUUCGAAGCAACGCGAAGAACCUUACCAAGUCUUGACAUCCUUCUGACCGGUACUUAACCGUACCUUCUCUUCGGAGCAGGAGUGACAGGUGGUGCAUGGUUGUCGUCAGCUCGUGUCGUGAGAUGUUGGGUUAAGUCCCGCAACGAGCGCAACCCUUAAGCUUAGUUGCCAUCAUUAAGUUGGGCACUCUAAGUUGACUGCCGGUGACAAACCGGAGGAAGGUGGGGAUGACGUCAAAUCAUCAUGCCCCUUAUGACUUGGGCUACACACGUGCUACAAUGGCGUAAACAAAGGGAAGCAAAGCUGUGAAGCCGAGCAAAUCUCAAAAAUAACGUCUCAGUUCGGACUGUAGUCUGCAACCCGACUACACGAAGCUGGAAUCGCUAGUAAUCGCAGAUCAGAAUGCUGCGGUGAAUACGUUCCCGGGUCUUGUACACACCGCCCGUCACACCACGAGAGUUUGUAACACCCGAAGCCGGUGGAGUAACCAUUUGGAGCUAGCCGUCGAAGGUGGGACAAAUGAUUGGGGUG